ensembl:lncRNA
AUUUACAAGAUCUGAAAUCAGGGAAGGGCAAACAGAAAGAAACAAACACUAGAUACAACUGAGCCAGGAGACAAAGAGUAUGUAAAUCCUGUAUUCAAAUGUGUCCAUGUUGUAAAACUUUGCUCAGUUCACCUUGUUUUUCUGGUCUUUUGGGCAAACGUCAAACCUGUAAAAAUUCUGUACAAAGCAUAUCUAAGUUUUCAUAACACUGCAAAAUGCAAAAAAAGGCCCAGCAGACAGUGAUCAAUGGAUCUUUCUCUGCUUUCUUUUAGUCCUUCUAUUAAACUGGACUAUCAUUAAAGAGGCUCAUCAUCGCCCCCUUGUGUAUUAAAUGCAAAUUACACAAAGUAAAUUCAGAGCAAACAUUGGUUGUCUGCUCAUCUGAUGGGUUUAAAGAUUUUUUUAGGUGCCUCUGAAGACAGUAAAACUAAUACUGAUGAUAUUUUAAGUGAUGUUCACACACCAGGACAGGAAUAAAUGACCAGAAGUCCAAAGCUACAUGAGCAAAUUAUUUUCUUUCCCUUUACAAAGCUGCUGUGUGUCAGUAAGACGUGGGAGGCCAACACACACACACACACACACACACACACACACACACACACAAACGCACACGGUCUCUCGCUCUCAUACGCACAUCUCAUUUACAAAUCAAAUUAGGCUACAUUUUACGUUCUUCACAAUCUGAAUUAAUAUCUCGUCAACCUGUAAACCAAUAAUGAUAUAAAACUUGCACAUGUUUAAUGUUCAUGCAUAUGAGCCGUCUCAAUAGUUUGUGUGUUACGUGAGGGGAAACAUCAUCUUUUUUUACAAUAAAAAAUUGUUUAAUUAGCCCGUUGACACAAAACCUAAGGGGCAGCAAAACAUGCAUAAAAAAGAAAAAAACAUUUUGUUUAGUUUUUUUUUUCUUCAAAAAUGCAUUUCCUUAAACAAAUGUUUCAUUUUCAAUUUAUCUCAGAGGGGGAAGGGGUUUAAUAAAGGGGAAAAGCUCAUUACAUUACACGUUCAACAGUCAGUCAAGAUGAAAUCCACAAAAAAAAAGUAUCAUUUCAAAAUAGGGGUGUGUGUAACAAAGUAUUAUAUUCCUAUCUUGCCUUUGUCUCAGUAAACCAUGCGUUUCACUCCCGUCACACCUACUCGACAAGUCAUGUCCUGAUAACUUUUUAAAAAAAGAAAGCAAAAACAUCUGGAGCCUUGGUUCUGGUCCAAUUUCUAUAACCUUUUAAAGAUUUUUCAUAGAACAGUUAAUAUAUUAAUGACUACUGUAUUUACAAAGUGAAUAUAAAUCUUUAGUUAAUACGUUAAAUAUUUUCUUUCAGAAUUUCAUUAAAGGUUUAAAUGGAACAGUAGAGUGUACAUUUGCAGCGUGGGUUUGAUUUUGCUGGCUUGCACCUGCUUUUAUGACAAUCAACAAACCAUAACUGUACUCUGCCCGGUCUGUUAUUGUGAAGGGAAGCGGUGUAAGAAAAUCUGCAUUGAACAGGAGGGAGCACAGUGGAAUGUCUAUUGAUUUGCAUUCAUAGCAGAUGCAUAAAAAAAAAAGCUUAGCUGAGGCCGAUCCCUUUCUCUUUUUAAACAAUUAUUCCCAUAGGCACGCGCACACACACACACAUCCACACACAGGGAUCUCCUUAGUGGCAAUAAAAAGUACUUUUGCCUGGCAACUGACAAUAGAAGUCUUCUCUUCCUCUGACUGGACGUCUGCUCGCUCUCCUGGGCAUCUACAAAACACCGCCUGCCCCCAGCUGAUCUGGGGAUGGAUGGCCGGGUAUGUGUGAGUGUGUGUGUGAAUGACGGUCCUUUUAUGGGAGGGGACGAGGGAGGGUAGAGAGAUUUUGGGUGAGAGGGGGGGCCAGGGGGGGUGGUGUACAGUCUCACCCAACGGCGGGCAGAGGCCUACAGACUACAACAGCUGCCCUCAUUCUCACUGCACCAAACAAAA